UCAACAGGCUGAAUUGUUGCCUGGAUAAAGACAUUUUGUUCCUCUGUCAGAUCAUCAGUGAAGGUUUAUAAACCCUCCAUUCCCUGGUUGAAGGCACACUGCUGCUAGUGAGUCCUGCUGCUGCUGCUGCUGCUUGGAUUCUUCAUCACAACAAGAUGAAAUUCGUCCUUUUUACUUUGUUCCUUUGUGGAUUCGUCCUGGAAAUCAAUGCUGGACGUGGUUUUCAAAAACCGAAAAAACCAAGGUCAUUUGGAGGAAUAAGAACUGCUGUGGCAUGUGAGGGAUCAGAGGCUCACUUAUCGUGUGCGCAUGAGGAUAUAUUUGUGAUCAGUGCUAUAUAUGGACGCAGCAAUCGGUUGACGUGCUCCGUUGGGAUACCUGCAGAGCAGACGAAGAACACUAAUUGUGCUACGAGGGCAGAAUCCGUGUUUCAGAGAUGCGAGGGGAAAUCAACGUGCAAUAUCUUAGCCAGCAGCUCUGUGUUCGGAGAUCCCUGUGUUGGGACCUACAAGUACCUGGAUGUGAUAUAUCUAUGUUAAAUUCCAUCUGCAACUGAAUGAAGCGACGAUCAGAUCUGCUGUGCUGAGGAUGAAAUGCAUCAUAAUCAGUAACAUCUACAGACGUUGUGAUCCACUGAUGUGCAGCUUCAUCUGUCUUCAGUUCCUUUUUAUGUUUACUUAGCAUUUUAUUUGUUUUUCUUCUCCAAUCUUCAUCUUUUUUUGCUUCUAUUUCAACUUUCCUCAAUAAACCUGACUUGCAUUUACA